AAAAACAUUGUCUCUCUCUCAAACCCUCUUUCCCCUUUUCCCAACUGCCCCCACAUCCGGCUAUGGCCAUCGCCGUCGAAUGGCCGCGCCGCCGCCAUGGCCAAUGGCCGGCAACGGAAGAGAUGGGUUUUUAGCCCUUGUUCAAUGGCCUUCUUAGUCCAAGAGAGAGAGAACCGAAAGAGGGGACUCCUCACCCCGUCCUUUAGGGUUGACUUCGAGGACAGAGAGAAGACCCCCGACGACGUAGCCGAGAGGUGUUUCGGGUAAGUUUUUUUCACUUUUUUUUUUAUUUUCGUAGAUAAAACAUAAAACAAUACCCUAGAUCUAAAAUGCAAAAAUGAAAAAAAACUUAAAAAAGAUUCAAAUCUUUCCUUUUUUUUUGUAUUCAUUUCCAGAAAAUCGAAGAAGUUACAAUGGUUUCGUUUUCAGCCUUUAUAGGGCCGUUUAUCAUUAUUCUUUUUUUGUCUUUUUCAUUUGUUUUUUUUUUUUUGCUUUUGUUUGUUUAUUUUUUCCUGCCAUUUUCUUUGUUGUUGUCUUCUUCUUGCGUAUUGCAAAUGGUAGUAGACACGUGGGUAGCAGCGAUAGGCGAGCGGCGGCGGUGGCCAGGGGACGUGCAAGGAGGCUGACGGCUAUGGGCAGACCUAGACCUGUCCAUGGGUCGGGCGGCCCGGCCCGACGGCCCGCCCGAAAUAUGGGAGGGUUUGGGUAAAAAUAUAGGCCCAAAAUACGGGCUUGGGCAAAAAAACGAUGCCCGUUUAGAAAAUGGGCCGGGCCUCGAGAACAACUUUUUUGGCCCGGGCCCGGCUUGGUCCGGCCCAAAUAUAAUAAAUAUAUUUUUUUUAUUUUUAUUUUUUAAUUUUUAAUUUUAAAAUAUUUUUAAAAUACUUUUAUUUUUAUUUUUAUUUUUAAAAUAAUUUUUUGAUGUUUAUUUAAAAAAUGGGCCGGGCCGGGCUCGGGCUUAGGAUUUUUUCCCGGGCCGGGCCUGGACAAAAUUUCAAGCCCAUAUUUCGGGCCGGGCUGGGCCCGGGCCUAGGAGUCGGGCCGAAAUUUUUUUCUGGGCCCGGCCGGGUUGGCCCAUGGACACCUCUAGGCAGACCUAGGUGCGGCACACCUAGGGUUUCCUUUGGCUGAAAAAUUUUUAGUUUUGAGCUAGGGUUUUUUAAUUUUUGGGCCUGCUGGGUUAGAUUUAAUUUGGGCUGGCAUUUUGGGUUUGUAAAUGGACAUUUGUUUUAUUAUGGACUUUUAACUGGUUUUGUUUGGGUCAUAUUGGGCCCCGGGUUUUAAUUUAAUUUGGUUUUGGUUAUUUGGACCAUAUUGGGCCCCGGGCAAAAUGGGCUUGUACAACUGGUUCAUAGUUUAGUAAGUCAUUAUAAAUAAAUAUGAAAUAAAUGUGAGGUAAUUGUAUCUCUCUAAAACUAUGAGAAAAUGAAUUUGAUAUCCUGAUUGUCGAAUUCGAGUUAUGUGUGAUUGACUUGUUAUUUGUAUAAGCAUGUACACAUAUGUUUGAUAUAAAUGUGUAUAUAUACACACAUUAGUUUUAUUGAAAAGAUUGGGAAACUCACGGAAAGUGUCCAUUAAGACAAAACAGACAAGGGCCACCUUAUAUAGUUACAGAACAACACGACAUACAAUAAAACACCCAGGUAGCACACUUAUAAAACAUCUACAGAAAAAGGCCCACCUACCACCAAGCAAUGAGGUUUUCUGUGCUCUGCCCAUAGCUUCUUUUUCAAAAAGAAAAAAUCGCUGAAGAGUUCACCUUUCUACCUUUUUGUAAAUCUUUGUUGUACUCGCUCGACGAUCCUAAUCAACCACCAUGGUUUUCCAGUCGCGAAUACGAUGUAUCCCAUACUCAAUCCUAACACCAAUCCACAUCCAUACCCCAUCAAUAUAGAAAAUUUCCAAUUCAAUUCAUCAUCUCUAUCAAAUUUGACCAAAGUUCCCCUAUCAUUAUCACAUCUUUUUGAUAAUGGCAAGCCGCAUAAACCCAAGUUUUCUUUGUAAGAAUCAUUAGUGAAAGUAUCAAAUUGUUUGCCUUGAGGAAUGGGUCCCUUGAGAUUAUUUUGAGAAAGGUUUAGCACCUCUAAGAAUCCAAGAUUUGUUAACUCUGUUGGAAUUCUUCCUUGGAACUUGUUUGAUGAGAGAUCUAAUGAUUCAAGUUCAGACAGAUCACCUAAUGAUGAUGGAAUAGGACCUGUUAAGCAAUUAUGAGAGAGGUUUAGGACAAUAAGUGAAUGAAGCUCACCAAGUGUUUUGGGCAAUUCUCUGAAGAAUUGAUUGUCUGAAAAGUCAAUUACCAUCCAACUGGUUAACACUGAUUGAAACUCUGUUUCCGACCCUUUUACUGUAAAAGAUAAACCAUAAGCAUAAUUGAAAGCAAUAUAAUCUGAUACAUCUUCCAUGUACUCUGGUUCAAGUUUAUUUUCAUGCCCCAUUCUAAUGGACUGUAGAUUUUUAAAAAAAUUGGUAGGUAAGUAGCCACUGAAGUUAUUGUGAGAAAGAUCAAUGACGCGCAAACGAGGGAAGGGAACUGUAACAUCAAAGUUAUCCAUUUGGCCAAAGAAUUUAU
rnacentral:lncRNA from 1 species